rnacentral:rRNA from 1 species
CGAAAGCCUGACGGAGCAAGACCGCGUGGGGGAGGAAGGCUCUAGGGUUGUAAACCCCUUUUCUUUGGGAAGAACAAAAUGACGGUACCAAAGGAAUCAGCCUCGGCUAACUCCGUGCCAGCAGCCGCGGUAAUACGGAGGAUGCAAGCGUUAUCCGGAAUUAUUGGGCGUAAAGCGUUCGUAGGCGGUCUUGUAAGUCUGCUGUCAAAGUGCGGAGCUCAACUCCGUAAGAGCAGUGGAAACUGUGAGACUUGAGUAUGGUAGGGGGAGAGGGAAUUCCCAGUGUAGCGGUGAAAUGCGUAGAUAUUGGGAAGAACACCGGUGGCGAAAGCGCUCUACUGGGCCAUAACUGACGCUGAGGGACGAAAGCUAGGGGAGCG